GGUUAGUGUAGGUGUGGUAGUGUUAGGGUUUAAGAACUCCUAUAUGGUCACUACUAGGACAUACCUGCAAUUUGCAGCUUCCACCAUUACUUCAACAUAGGAAAUGGCAACAUUAAAAGAAUUGGGGGCUGCAAAACACACACCUCUAUGCUAUGUACAGCAAUGUAGCAACGUGUUAAGUCUAAAUAGAUCAAUAUGAACUUACUGCUAUUACCAACAUCUCUAACAGGUUACUCCAACCUCCAUGAUCACUUCUGCUUUUAGAAGUGGUCAUGAUGGUAGGAAUUUCUGCUUGAAACGCUGCACUUGCAGAGAU